UCCGAGUUGACCCCGGCAGUCUCCUAUGAGUCCCCGCCAUCACGCGCUGGCAACAUAGAACGAGGGUUGCGCUCGUUGCGGGACUUAACCCAACAUCUCACGACACGAGCUGACGACAACCAUGCACCACCUGUGCAGGACCCUUGCGGACCCCCCAUCUCUGGAGGAUUUCCCUGCAUGUCAAGCCUUGGUAAGGUUCUUCGCGUUGCGUCGAAUUAAGCCACAUGCUCCGCUGCUUGUGCGGGCCCCCGUCAAUUCCUUUGAGUUUUAGCCUUGCGGCCGUACUCCCCAGGCGGGGUGCUUAAUGCGUUAGCUGCGGCACGAACGGCGUGGAAUACCGCUCACACCUAGCACCCACCGUUUACGGCGUGGACUAC
rnacentral:misc_RNA from 1 species